ACUGACUAGGUUGUACUUUACAACUGACUAGGUUAUACUUUACAACUGACUAGGUUAUACUUUACAACUGACGAGGUUGUACUUUACAACUGACUAGGUUAUACUUUACAACUGACUAGGUUGUACUUUCCCUUUACAACUGACUAGGUUGUACUUUACAACUGACUUGGUUAUACUUUACAACUGACUAGGUUGUACUUUACAACUGACUUGGUUAUACUUUACAACUGACUAGGUUGUACUUUACAACUGACUAGGUUGUACUUUCCCUUUACAACUGACUAGGUUGUA